rnacentral:rRNA from 1 species
ACGUGGGGGGCAAGCGUUGUCCGGAAUUAUUGGGCGUAAAGAGCGCGUAGGCGGCUCGGCAAGUCUGGAGUGAAAUUCCUGCUUUUAAGGUGGGAACUGCUUUGGAUACUGUCGGGCUUGAGUGCAGGAGAGGUAAGUGGAAUUCCCGGUGUAGCGGUGAAAUGCGUAGAGAUCGGGAGGAACACCAGUGGCGAAGGCGACUUACUGGACUGUAACUGACGCUGAGGCGCGAAAGUGUGGGGAGCAAACAG